UUUGGAGCAGGGCGAGUCUAGGUGACCGUUGAGGAGGCGCGGGGAUUUUAAAUUUGAAUUUGGCGGGAGAGGGUGCAGGGAUUAUUGAAUGGGGCGGAGAAAAGUUUUGGUUUUUUGUUCAUUUUAUAAUGUGAGAGGUAAAGUAAAAAAAAAAAAAAUUUGAAUGGGAGAUGCAGAGAUGAAUGGAUUUCAAAUUUUUUUUUCCUUUUCAAUUUUAGUCCUUUUAAAUUCUUUUUUAACAAAAUUUUUUAAUAAAUUUAUAUUUGCAGAAACAACUCUCUUUUUGCUGCGGAGUAGUGUAUUGGA
rnacentral:lncRNA from 1 species